UAGCGGUCAGCUAAAGAAUAAGAUGGACAAGGAGAAUUAAUAUAGCAAUCAUAAAGUUCUACAGAGGAGGCAUGAAAAUCAGCAGAGCAACAUUGGAUCUGAGCUCUUCUGUUUAGAUACUGUUUUGGACCUGACCAGAGCAUACUUUGUGGCGUCUUACCAAAUUGUAGACUUUUCAUCUUCUUCUGUCAAAUAUGUGCACACAAACACAUCAGCAACUGAAGAGCCGUUCAUGGAACAAAUACUUUCUGCUAUAAGAGUACUGUUUUUCUAUGGACAGGUGG
rnacentral:lncRNA from 1 species